rnacentral:rRNA from 1 species
CCCAGACUCCUACGGGAGGCAGCAGUGGGGGAUAUUGCACAAUGGGGGGAACCCUGAUGCAGCGACGCCGCGUGGGUGAAGGAGCGUUUCGGCGCGUAAAGCCCUAUCGGCAGGGAAGAAGGAGGACGGUACCUGACUAAGAAGCCCCGGCUAACUACGUGCCAGCAGCCGCGGUAAUACGUAGGGGGCAAGCGUUAUCCGGAUUUACUGGCUGUAAAGGGGGCGCAGACGGCAGCGCAAGCCAGGAGUGAAAGCCCGGGGCCCAACCCCGGGACUGCUCUUGGAACUGCGCGGCUGGAGUGCAGGAGGGGCAGGCGGAAUUCCUGGUGUAGCGGUGAAAUGCGUAGAUAUCAGGAGGAACACCGGUGGCGAAGGCGGCCUGCUGGACUGCAACUGACGUUGAGGCCCGAAAGCGUGGGGAGCAAACAGGAUUAGAUACCCGAGUAAG